rnacentral:rRNA from 1 species
GAAUUACGAGCCCAAGCUUAAAACCCAAAGGACUUGACGGUGUCCCACCCCCCUAGAGGAGCCUGUUCUAUAAUCGAUUUUCCCCGAUCCACCUCACCGCCCCUUGAAUCUUCAGUCUGUAUACCUCCGUCGUAAGCUUACCAUGUGAACGUUUAUUAGUGAGCUCAAAAAUUUAACACUCACACGUCAGGUCAAGGUGCAGCCCACGGGACGGAAAGAAAUGGGCUACAAUCUCUACCCUAGAACAAACGGAAAACUGUCUGCAAUACAGUCACUAAGGCGGAUUUAGAAGUAAAAAGAAAAUAGAGAGUUCUUUUUAAUCGGGCGCUGGGACGCGUACACACCGCCCGUCAUCCUCUUCAAAUAUAUACUCAUGUUUUUAACAAGAUUUCUUACAGAAGAGGCAAGUCGUAACACGGUAAGCGUACUGGAAAGUGCGCUUGGAAUAACAAAAUGUAAUUUAAUAAAAAUAUCUUGCUUACACCAAGAAUAUAUCCAUGGAAUCUGGAUCAUUUUGAGCCUAAAAUCUAGCCCUAUCUCUUUCUAAUAGAAUAAUUUACCAAUAAAUAUAAAUAAAACAUUUUCUCAGCCAAGUAAAGGCGAUUAAAAAGCAUCUAGGAGCCUCAACAUUUGUACCGCAAGGG